rnacentral:rRNA from 1 species
GACGAACGCUGGCGGCGUGCUUAACGCAUGCAAGUCGAACGGAAAGGCCUCUUUCGGGGGGUACUCGAGUGGCGAACGGGUGAGUAACACGUGAGUAACCUGCCCUUGACUUUGGGAUAACUUCAGGAAACUGGGGCUAAUACCGGAUAGGAGCUCCUGCUGCAUGGUGGGGGUUGGAAAGUUUCGGCGGUUGGGGAUGGACUCGCGGCUUAUCAGCUUGUUGGUGGGGUAGUGGCUUACCAAGGCUUUGACGGGUAGCCGGCCUGAGAGGGUGACCGGCCACAGUGGGACUGAGAUACGGCCCAGACUCCUACGGGAGGCAGCAGUGGGGAAUAUUGCACAAUGGGUGGAAGCCUGAUGCAGCAACGCCGUGUGCGGGAUGACGGCCUUCGGGUUGUAAACCGCUUUCGCUCAUGACGAAGCUUUGUGUGACGGUAGUGGGUAAAGAAGCACCGGCUAACUACGUG